AAUUUUAGCGCAGAACCAUCAUUAAGUUCUUGAAUAGUUUGGACUGAUGCUUUUCCAUAUGAUUUGGUACCCAUAAUCAUUGCUCUUUUGUGAUCUUGUAAUGCACCCGCUACAAUUUCAGAUGCUGAUGCUGAACCCUCAUUUAUAAGAACUAUCAAUGGAAGUCCAUCAAUAAUAUCUUGUGGUGAUGCAAAAUAUUCUAAUUUUGAUUUAUAUGUUCGACCCUUCGUAUAGACUAUUUUACCUUCGGUCAAGAAUAGGUCGCUUAUACCUACAGCU
rnacentral:ncRNA from 1 species